ensembl:lncRNA
GUUAUGCGGCAAAGAGGAAUGAAGGUCACAGAUGGAAAUAAGGUUGCUGAUUAGCUGAACUUGCGAUGGAAGCGUAGCCUGGAUGAUCCAGGUGGGCCCAGUGUAAUCACAGGGACUUUAGAAGUGGAAGAGGAAAGCCGAAGAGGAGAGCCGGAAGACAAUAUGACUAAGGAAGAAAAGCCCCAAAAGAUUCAUUGUUGCUGGUUUUGCAGAUGGAGGAAGGCGACCCUGAGCCAAGGAACGUAGGUGGCUUCUAGAAGCUGGAAAAAGCCAGGAAACCAGUUCUCCCCACAGCCUCCAGGAAGGAAGGCAGCCCUGCUUUUUGCAGGCCAGCGAUUCCUGCAUCAGACCUCUGACUACAGGAACUGUAAGAUAAGAAAGUCACGGUGCUUUAAGCCACCACGUUUGCAGGAACUUGUUACAGCAGCAAAUAGAAAACGAAUACACUAAGUGACCUCGCUGUGGGUUUCCACCUUCACAGCCUACCACGCACGCAUGCUCCUGACACAGUUCAUCUGCUCGUCUUACGAAGCGGUGAAGAGAGAACACGGAACUUCUCUCAUGCUUCGUUCAAGUACCUACACACUUUCUGGUUGGCCGGAGGCUCAGGCCUCUCCCUUCCAGGCCUGACCUGUUGCCUGCUGCUCCUUUCCAGUGGACACCCCAGCCCCUCUGGGCCUUGUCCUGCCCCUCCCCAGGCAGCACCUUCAGGGUCAAGGACUCUGAGCCUCCAUCCAGCAAACUCAAACCUCAGCCCAGCCUUACCCAUGAAAAAGACUUAAAGAACUUUGGGAUUUGGAACUUGUUCGUCCACUGGGAUUCAGCGCUUAAUUAAUAGAAACCCAGGUGACCUGCCUCUCCGACAGCCAGAGGCUGCUCUGCUAAAUCAGCCAGUUGGUGUUCCAUCAGCACAGGAAUGAGCUGGGCUUUUUUUCCCUUUGAUAAUAAUCCUAGAAAAUGAUGAGCCCGGCAUGUGGAUGAACGAGAUCCAGAGAAAUGACGUCAAAACGACCCUUUCACGGGGAAGCAAAAGUGAGGCGACAAUUCCCUAAAUGAGUAGUUCUCAAGUGAGGCGUGAAUCAGAAUCACCCGGAAUCUACCUAUACUCACAUUCCACCCACAAGGACACACAACAGACACUUCCUACUCCAUCAGGAUUAUCAUAAUUCUGUGAGGACCAAAGCCUUGAGAGCUUAGUCUGUGAGGGCAUCAAUACACAACCUAGCCCAUAUGCAAAUACAAACCCACGAAACAGCCCCCAAAACACACACACACACUUUUAGUUUGAUCCACCGUUUUAGAACCUAGUUAGGCUUUGGCAUGAAGCCAAGACUAAGAAGCUGGUCUAAGCCAGAAGAAGUGGUCUCCCCCAGAACUACACCCUCUCUCUCCCGAUGUGGCAUUCCUCACCCUCGCCUUUUUCUCAUUUUAUACAUGGAGUUUGGCAAUAGGAAGUGGAAAAGGAGAAUGAAUGGGUUGUCACCACCCCAGAGAUUUCCAGAGAUACCACCAAAGAAAAUAUCCUACUGACAAUGGGACCUCUGAAACACCAAGAAUACCUCACUCACUCAUUUCACAAAUAUUUGUUCUGCAAAAAUAUAAGAGGUGUCACCUCAGGUCAGACCAAAGGUGCAAGUAGCCCAGCGCUGCCAGCGCUCUGUCUGUGCUCGGGUGUGUGGACAACCGACACCCUAAGAGCGGAGGCUGGGGCGGGGUUGUGUGACCACUGUCCCCCAACCUGUUCCAGUGGCCACCAAAUCUGAAUAAGUGUGACAUUUAUUUUUGCUGCCCUUGAGUAUACACCCUGGUAGGACAGCGGUGGUCAUGUGGCUCUUUGAGCUGAUAUACUGUGUGACUCAGUUUAGAGCAGGUACAGCUUGCUGUGGGCAAGGGGACUGUAUUAGUCUGCUGGGCCACCAUGAUGAAAUAUCAUAGACUAGGGGGCUCAAACAACAGAUAUUUAUGCUCUCACAGUUCUGGAAGCUGGAAGCCCAAGAUCAGGGUGCCAGCAUGGUGGGGUUCUGGUGA